rnacentral:rRNA from 1 species
AUUGAACGCUGGCGGCAUGCCUUACACAUGCAAGUCGAACGGCAGCACGGGGCAACCUGGUGGCGAGUGGCGAACGGGUGAGUAAUGCAUCGGAACGUACCUUUCAGUGGGGGAUAACGUAGCGAAAGUUACGCUAAUACCGCAUAUUCUGUGAGCAGGAAAGCAGGGGAUCGCAAGACCUUGCGCUGAUUGAGCGGCCGAUGUCAGAUUAGCUAGUUGGUGAGGUAAAGGCUCACCAAGGCGACGAUCUGUAGCGGGUCUGAGAGGAUGAUCCGCCACACUGGAACUGAGACACGGUCCAGACUCCUACGGGAGGCAGCAGUGGGGAAUUUUGGACAAUGGGGGCAACCCUGACCCAGCCGUGCCGCGUGAGUGAAGAAGGCCUUCGGGUUGUAAAGCUCUUUCGGCCGGGAAGAAAUCGCACGGGCUAAUACCCUGUGUGGAUGACGGUACCGGAAUAAGAAGCACCGGCUAACUACGUGCCAGCCGCCGCGGUAACAC